ACGGAAGGCAGCAGUGAGGAAUAUUGGUCAAUGGGCGGAAGCCUGAACCAGCCAAGUCGCGUGAAGGAUGAAGGUAUUAUGUAUUGUAAACUUCUUUAGCAGCAGAGUAAUAAGGGGGUCGUGACCCCCGGUGCAAGUAUGCUGAAAAUAAGGAUCGGCUAACUCCGUGCCAGCAGCCGCGGUAAUACGGAGGAUCCGAGCGUUAUCCGGAUUUAUUGGGUUUAAAGGGUGCGCAGGCGGUUUUUUAAGUCAGUGGUUAAAUCGUGAGGCUCAACCUCAUCACGCCAUUGAUACUGGAAGACUUGAUUGCGGUUGAGGUUGGCGGAAUUCGUCGUGUAGCGGUGAAAUGCAUAGAUAUGACGAAGAACACCGAUUGCGUAGGCAGCUGACCAAGCCGUAAAUGACGCUCAUGCACGAAAGUGCGGGGAUCGAACAGGAUUAGAUACCCUGGUA
rnacentral:rRNA from 1 species